GAUUGGCUUAAGGAAGAUCUUUUCUCUGCUUUAGAUGAUGAUGGUGAAGUUCUUCAACAAGUUGAUCAAGAUAUAUUUUCCUCUAAUGAUGGUGCUUGUUCUAUGGCGGCAUCAAUUGAUAAUCUUGAUGAUGACUAGAUAUAUUUUCCUCAAAGGUUGUGGUUGUUUGAUGAUUUUGUUGGCAACUUGGCAUCUUUUGAUACUUUGUGGUUGUUGUUUUAGAGAGAUUUUUUGGUGGUAUUCUUUUGAUGUCUUGAGAAUGAUUAAAUGUUAUAUAGAUUAGCUAUUGUCA